GUUGGUAACUUUGACAGAGAGUUAUUAAGCUAAUUAUGCGUUGUUGAUCUUUCUCUUAUCAAAUUAGUUUAUGGAGUCAAUUUAUUGGUUAACAAUAUAUGAGAGCUCAAGUUUACUCAAAAUCUUGUGCAUGGAAUCAAAAAUCUGCUUCUUAAGGGGAAUGCUCUUUUAGAAGAAUAAGGGAUCCACAAAUAAAAUGAUUAAUUACCAACCUAUCAAAUUCGCCAUAUCAAAGAGGAUUCAUUUUGUUUACAUAAUUAGUCAUGGCUUUUCCAAUGAACUCAAGAACUCAUCAUUUAUUAUUCCCAAAAAAUAUUGGAAAACCUCCAAUUAAGCAACAUUACUCGCAGGUGAUGAAAGAGAGAAACAUAACAUAAUAAAAUAUAAAGUUGAAUUUUAUUGGUUUGCUAACUUAAUAAACACAUAGUUUAACCAGGGACACACCCCAGUUCACAUCAAAUAAAUGGGAAAAAUGUGUAUGAUUUAUACUUGACUUAAUUAGAAGCAUAAAUAUAGAAUGACAAACAGAACUUUGGAUCCAGUUUAAGAAAAAUAGAGGUGGAAUGGAGCAAAAAUAAGUCAUGGAUUUUUAGCAAAACCCAUUAUUUACACAUAAGGAGAAGUGG
rnacentral:lncRNA from 1 species